ensembl:lncRNA
CUUUUUAAUUUUAUUUGGCCUGUUCUUUUUAGAUGGGUUUUAUUUUUGCCAAGGUGUGUUGCAUUCGUUUGUGAUCCCAGUCUUCCUGCUGCUGCUGCUAAGUCACUGCAGUCGUGUCCGACUCUGUGCGACCCCAUAGACAGCAGCCCACUAGGCUCCUCCGUCCAUGGGAUUUUCCAGGCAAAAGUACUGGAGUGGGGUGCCAUCGUCUUCUCCCCCAGUCUUCCUACCCACCUUGAAUUCUCCACUCCUCUGCAUGUUAUUCUGUCAAAAUUCUCAACUGUAUAAGGAGUCAGUGUAUGUCUAUUUUUGGUUGCCUUGGUUUUUCCUUUUAGCAGGGCACCAAAUUAGGAGUCUUAGUUUAAGAACCUCAUCUCGUAGCACUCAUCUGGAAAUGUGGGAGUGAGUUCUUAGUGGGGAUCUCUGGCCAGUAGCUCCUGCAUCCUGGCAGUAACAUCAGUGAUGGCUUUGUUUUGUGUAUAAAGUUUGCAAGAUUCUCAGUUGGAGCUGUCACGCACACAUGACAAAAGUGGGUUUUGUUUUAUAUAGUCACAUCCUAAGUCCCCUCCAAAGGGAAAAAGAGGUGUUCAUAUCAUUAUAAACACGAUUCUCUCUCACUCAAGUUCCUCCAAAUCAAUACGAAGUGGGGAGACGUCAGGCUCCCGCGGCCGGAGCGGCGGCCCCGGCUCGGCGCGGCGCAGCGCAGUCUGGUUGAGCGCUCACCGCAGCGAGAAGUUUUCCUCUGCCGUCGCGCCUUCCGCCGCCGCCGCUGGGUGGU